rnacentral:rRNA from 1 species
AAGCGUGCGCAGGCGGUUUUGUAAGUCAGAUGUGAAAUCCCCGAGCUCAACUUGGGAACUGCGUUUGAAACUACAAGACUAGAAUAUGUCAGAGGGGGGUAGAAUUCCACGUGUAGCAGUGAAAUGCGUAGAGAUGUGGAGGAAUACCAAUGGCGAAGGCAGCCCCCUGGGAUAAUAUUGACGCUCAUGCACGAAAGCGUGGGGAGCAAACAGGAUUAGAUACCCUGGUAGUCCACGCCCUAAACGAUGUCUACUAGUUGUUGGUGGAGUAAAAUCCAUGAGUAACGCAGCUAACGCGUGAAGUAGACCGCCUGGGGAGUACGGUCGCAAGAUUAAAACUCAAAUGAAUUGACGGGGGCCCGCACAAGCGGUGGAUUAUGUGGAUUAAUUCGAUGCAACGCGAAAAACCUUACCUGGCCUUGACAUGUAACGAACUUUCCAGAGAUGGAUUGGUGCUCGAAAGAGAGCGUUAACACAGGUGCUGCAUGGCUGUCGUCAGCUCGUGUCGUGAGAUGUUGGGUUAAGUCCCGCAACGAGCGCAACCCUUGCCAUUAAUUGCCAUCAUUUAGUUGGGCACUUUAAUGGGACUGCCGGUGACAAACCGGAGGAAGGUGGGGAUGACGUCAAGUCCUCAUGGCCCUUAUGGCCAGGGCUUCACACGUAAUACAAUGGUCGGUACAGAGGGUUGCCAAGCCGCGAGGUGGAGCCAAUCCCAGAAAGCCGAUCGUAGUCCGGAUUGUAGUCUGCAACUCGACUACAUGAAGUCGGAAUCGCUAGUAAUCGCGGAUCAGCAUGUCGCGGUGAAUACGUUCCCGGGCCCUUGUACACACCGCCCGUCACACCAUGGGAGUGGGUUUUACCAGAAGUAGGUAGUCUAACCCUUCGGGGAGGACGCUUACCACGGUAGUAUUCAUGACUGGGGGUGAAGUCGUAACAAGGUAA